CCAGCAUUGGUAUCCACCUUCU
rnacentral:miRNA from 1 species